rnacentral:rRNA from 2 species
AGCAACGCCGCGUGAGCGAUGAAGGCCUUCGGGUCGUAAAGCUCUGUUGUUAGGGAAGAACAAGUGCUAGUUGAAUAAGCUGGCACCUUGACGGUACCUAACCAGAAAGCCACGGCUAACUACGUGCCAGCAGCCGCGGUAAUACGUAGGUGGCAAGCGUUGUCCGGAAUUAUUGGGCGUAAAGCGCGCGCAGGCGGUUUCUUAAGUCUGAUGUGAAAGCCCCCGGCUCAACCGGGGAGGGUCAUUGGAAACUGGGAAACUUGAGUGCAGAAGAGGAAAGUGGAAUUCCAAGUGUAGCGGUGAAAUGCGUAGAGAUUUGGAGGAACACCAGUGGCGAAGGCGACUUUCUGGUCUGUAACUGACGCUGAGGCGCGAAAGCGUGGGGAGCAAACAGGAUUAGAUACCCUGGUAGUCCACGCUGUAAACGAUGAGUGCUAAGUGUUAGAGGGUUUCCGCCCUUUAGUGCUGAAGUUAACGCAUUAAGCACUCCGCCUGGGGAGUACGGUCGCAAGACUGAAACUCAAAGGAAUUGACGGGGGCCCGCACAAGUGGUGGAGCAUGUGGUUUAAUUCGA